GCAAGUCGAACGAGACCUAGAUGAAGUUUACUUUAUUUAGUGACAGUGGCGGACGAGCGAGUAACACGUAAGCAUCUGCCCCGUACUCAGGGAUAACAUCAUGAAAGUGGUGCUAAUACCGGAUGGUCCCGCAAGGGUAAAGAUUUAUCGGUACGGGAGGAGCUUGCGGCUUAUCAGUUAGUUGGUGGGGUAAAGGCCUACCAAGACUAUGACGAGUAGCUGGUGUGAGAGCAUGACC
rnacentral:rRNA from 1 species